UUGGGGGGUCAGAGGACAGCGAGAUUCUCGCCCUGAGCAACGGCCUGAAGUCGGCGGAGGGAAGCAGGCCCAGGCUCUGUGAGGAGGCAAGAUCUCGGGGAGUUGAGGACCUUGUUUUCAGAAGGUGACUCAGGUCAACACAGGGGCCCCCAUGUGGUCGACAGAUGCAGUGGUUCUAGGAUCUGCCCAGCAUCCAGGUGGGGAGCCUGAGGUUCUGAGGGGACAGGCUGACAAGUAGGACCCGAGGAACUGGAGGAGCAUUGAAGGAGAAGAUCUGUAAGUAAGCCUUUGUCAGAGCCUCCAAGGUUCAGUUCAGUUCUCACCUAAGGCCUCACGCACGCUCCUUCUCUCCCUAGGCCUGUGGGUCUUCACUGCCCAGCUCCUGCCCG
rnacentral:sRNA from 1 species